rnacentral:rRNA from 1 species
UACGUAGGGUGCAAGCGUUGUCCGGAAUUAUUGGGCGUAAAGGGCUCGUAGGCGGUCUGUCACGUCGGGAGUGAAAACUCAGGGCUUAACCCUGAGCCUGCUUCCGAUACGGGCAGACUAGAGGUAUGCAGGGGAGAACGGAAUUCCUGGUGUAGCGGUGAAAUGCGCAGAUAUCAGGAAGAACACCCGUGGCGAAGGCGGCUCUCUGGGACGGUACUGACGCUGAGACGCGAAAGCGUGGGGAGCGAACAGG